ACGGGUGAGUAACGCGUAGACAACCUACCUUCUAGAUGGGGACAACACUGCGAAAGUGGUGCUAAUACCGAAUGUUGUAUUUUAGAUGCAUGUUUAAGAUACUAAAGGUGGCCUCUAUAUAUAAGCUACCACUAGAAGAUGGGUCUGCGUCUGAUUAGCUAGUUGGUGAGGUAAUGGCUCACCAAGGCGACGAUCAGUAGCCGGUCUGAGAGGAUGAACGGCCACACUGGGACUGAGACACGGCCCAGACUCCUACGGGAGGCAGCAGUGGGGAAUCUUCCGCAAUGGACGAAAGUCUGACGGAGCAACGCCGCGUGAGUGAAGAAGGUUUUCGGAUCGUAAAACUCUGUUUUCAGGGACGAAUGUGCGAUAUGUGAAUAAUGUGUUGUAAUGACGGUACCUGACAAGAAAGCCACGGCUAACUACGUGCCAGCAGCCGCGGUAAUACGUAGGUGGCAAGCGUUGUCCGGAAUUAUUGGGCGUAAAGCGCGCGCAGGUGGGAUAAUAAGUCUGAUGUUAAAGUUCGGGGCUCAACCCCGUGAAGCAUUUGGAUACUGUUAUUCUUGAGUGCAGGAGAGGAAAGUGGAAUUC
rnacentral:rRNA from 1 species